UACGAAGGGGGGCUAGCGUUGUUCGGAAUUACUGGGCGUAAAGCGCACGUAGGCGGAUAUUUAAGUCAGGGGUGAAAUCCCGGGGCUCAACCCCGGAACUGCCUUUGAUACUGGGUAUCUCGAGUCCGAGAGAGGUGAGUGGAAGUUCCGAGUGUAGAGGUGAAAUUCGUAGAUAUUCGGAGGAACACCAGUGGCGAAGGCGGCUCACUGGCUCGGUACUGACGCUGAGGUGCGAAAGCGUGGGGAGCAAACAGG
rnacentral:rRNA from 1 species